rnacentral:rRNA from 1 species
GACGAACGCUGGCGGCGUGCUUAACACAUGCAAGUCGAACGGAAAGGCCCUGCUUUUGUGGGGUGCUCGAGUGGCGAACGGGUGAGUAACACGUGAGUAACCUGCCCUUGGCUUUGGGAUAACUUCAGGAAACUGGGGCUAAUACCGGAUAGGAGCUCCUGCUGCACGGUGGGGGUUGGAAAGUUUCGGCGGUUGGGGAUGGACUCGCGGCUUAUCAGCUUGUUGGUGGGGUAGUGGCUUACCAAGGCUUUGACGGGUAGCCGGCCUGAGAGGGUGACCGGCCACAUUGGGACUGAGAUACGGCCCAGACUCCUACGGGAGGCAGCAGUGGGGAAUAUUGCACAAUGGGCGGAAGCCUGAUGCAGCAACGCCGCGUGCGGGAUGACGGCCUUCGGGUUGUAAACCGCUUUCGCCUGUGACGAAGCGUGAGUGACGGUAAUGGGUAAAGAAGCACCGGCUAACUACGUG